rnacentral:rRNA from 1 species
AUACGGAAGGUCCGGGCGUUAUCCGGAUUUAUUGGGUUUAAAGGGAGCGCAGGCGGAGAUGCAAGCGUGACGUCAAAUUUCGGGGCUCAACCCCGUCUCGCGUCGCGAACUGCGUCCCUUGGUUGCGGGAAGGGGAGGCGGCACUCGGGGGGUAGCGGUGAAAUGCAUAGAUAUCACGAAGAACUCCGAUCGCGAAGGCAGCCUUCCGGCCCGUCAACGACGCUCAUGCUCGAAGGUGCGGGUAUCAAACAGGAUUAGAUACCCUGGUAGUCCGCACAGUAAACGAUGGACACCCGCGGUUUGGCCUGUAUGGCUGAGCCGCCAAGCGAAAGCGUUAAGUGUCCCACCUGGGGAGUACGCCGGCAACGGUGAAACUUAAAGGAAUUGACGGGG